CAAGCAGCCAUCAUCAUGAAUCAAGUCGACAAUAUACUGGCAAAUCCUUUUCAUAUGAAGAAAAAUGAUAGAUAAAACGAAUCGGUGCUCAUCGGCCAUAAGCAUUGCACAAGUUGGAUAUCGCAAAUUCAACAAUGAGUGGUUUGAAAGGAAUCAGUGGCUAACUGCAAGCAUUGCAAAGCAAUCACUGGACUGCUAUUCAGUGGAGAGGGUGUGUGGUCCAAGUCUGGGCUUAAAGAACACCCUCUGUGUUUUGUUAGACACGUAACUCUAUUUACACAAUAUAGCAUGGGGGUGUAAAGCCAUAACACAUACGUUUUUCCAGCAGCAGACUAUGAUCGAUAACUUCAAAAUCCGCACUGAAGUCUAACAAAGCAGCCCCCACAAUCUUUUUAUCAUCAAUUUCUCAUUGGGAGUGGAGACUGCGUUGCACGAGGAUGCUGUCUUCGGCUUCCAUGGCUCACGACAUGCGACCAUCAUUGAUUGCCAUGCUCCUCUUGUUGUGCUCCUUCGACUCCGCUAUCCGAUGGGGGAGGAGAGGCAGAAGAUGGCUCCCCUGGCAACACCGGUCAGUCGGAUAACGACAAACGACAAGACAUAGAUGCAUCCAACAUGCGCGAACGCCGUCCACCCAACGGCGUAGAAAAGAAACUGGACAUGUUUGGAGUUGAAGAUUGAGGCCAGGUUUAGUAUCCUAAAGUUCACUCCUUAACAGUACUGGAUGAAAACACAGCAAGAAAACACUUGCUGGAAGAGUGUGGGACUGCUGUACCAAUUGUCCACAUUCAAAGUGUGUCCCUUGCCGAGAUGAGGAGCCAGCAUGGAGCCAGCAUGGAACCAGACACCCCAAGCCCCUCAUAAUGUUGGAUGUCAAUGGUGGAUCCUGUGUAAACUAUAAUGUCCUGGACAAAUCCUGUCUUCACGUCGCACAUAACAAAGCACUUGACCACAAACCUUUGCCUUUUGGGUGGAACGCCAGCCUACCCUUCCGUAACAUCAGGGACUUAUCAAUGCAUAGGUCCUUGUAUGGCACAAAGACCCUACCAAAUGCUAAUGUCAAGCUGCUCCAAGGCAUAGCGGUUGGUCUCCUCUAGUAUGUCUCCCACCAGCUCCUCUGUCAGAAACAGCAUGAAGCACUCUGCCUCAGAGGGAAAUGGCAAGGGGCUUUGCAAUCCAGACUGGGACUCAUUAAAGCAAGCAGCAGGGCCAGGAAAUGGCUGGCAGCCUUCCAGCUACCACAGACCUCCUGUACAUUAUCCACUGUCAGUCUGCCUCCUUCAACACCAGCAUCUUCAAAGGGACCUCGGGCUUCGUCAGGGGACAAGGGGUCAUCAGAUUCAGGGUUCUCAAUGGCUAGAAGGUUGGGGGGCAGCUCCUCAUUGUCACUGUCAGAAUCUGAUUCCUGACUUUGUCAGAAUUGUACAAAAUCUUUCCGCAUUUGUGAGUUGUCUCCUUUUGAAAGACAUUGCUAAUGCUACAGCUUAGCUCACUAGCUACAUACAGAAAGAACAACACUGAAUCGCUCAGAGUGGGAGUGAGAGGUUACGUGAUUGACUGCCGGCACGUGCCAAUUGUAUCGAUACAUCAUUAUCAGAAAAUGUUUUGUGUGGUAAUUAUUUAUUUAUAUACUGUUUUAUUCACGUUUUCAAGUACUGGUGACAAAUCAUGCAUUCCGAUUCUUGCAUAGAUUGUAAUGGACACAUUAUGUGUGUAAAAUACUUUUAUGAAGGUUGUACUGAUUAUGAUGAGCUAAGCUAAUUCCAGCUAUGUGUGGAGCCAUGUUUGUUGAAAUACAACGCAUUCUGGGUUUCACGUAAACGUCUGUCGGACCAAGGAUUUUAUAACAAAAUGAGGUGAGGGAGGGUUCACUUUUUGAGUAAACUUCCAGAAGUGAAUGAUGGGAUGUGAACGAUGGUAGACGACACACUGUUGCAGGAAUUAAAUUCCUUUAUGUUUUAUUUAACCAAUUCAAUUAAACACUGCCCACUCCUAAGAAUUUGUAAGACCCUUAUUUGCAUAAAAUGGUCAGAGACCAGUCUCAAAAUCAAUCAGUAGCGUUUAUUCUCGAGAGUACUGAACACGAUACAAUUUACCACAGGUUAUAAACUGAAAAUGACGUCAUUAGUUUUCGAACUGUCCCGUCUCUUCUCCACUCUUGUACAAUGGCAGUAUAGUUCUCAAGCCUUCCCGCAUCGUCCCACACCAAUUUAGAUCAUUUAUGACUGAGCCAAGGUCUUCCUGUGUAGAUAAGCAUUCUAGCCAGUCUGACGAUACGUUCAUUCAUUUCUACCACGGAACAGACAGUCAUUGUUCUAAUUCUUGAUUAUAAUUACACACAUUAUAUUCAGUACUAGGAUUAAAAGAAAAU